rnacentral:rRNA from 1 species
CGGCACGGGUGAGUAACACGUAUCCAACCUGCCGUCUACUCUUGGACAGCCUUCUGAAAGGAAGAUUAAUACAGGAUGGCAUCAUGAGUCCGCAUGUUCACAUGAUUAAAGGUAUUCCGGUAGACGAUGGGGAUGCGUUCCAUUAGAUAGUAGGCGGGGUAACGGCCCACCUAGUCUUCGAUGGAUAGGGGUUCUGAGAGGAAGGUCCCCCACAUUGGAACUGAGACACGGUCCAA